rnacentral:rRNA from 1 species
GGGCCCGGAGAUGGGUACUGAGACACGGACCCAGGCCCUAUGGGGCGCAGCAGGCGAGAAACCUUUGCAAUGUGCGAAAGCACGACAAGGUUAAUCCGAGUGUCUUCUGCUAAAGAAGUCUUUUGUUAGUCAUAGAACCACUGAUGAAUAAGGGGUGGGCAAGUUCUGGUGUCAGCCGCCGCGGUAAAACCAGCACCUCGAGUGGUCAGGAGGUUUAUUGGGCCUAAAGCAUCCGUAGCCGGUUGUUUAAGUUUUCGGUUAAAUCUAUGCGCUUAACGUAUAGGCUGCCAAAAAUACUGGACAGCUAGGGAGUGGGAGAGGUACACGGUACUCAAUAGGAAGGGGUAAAAUCCUUUGAUCUGUUGAUGACCACCUGUGGCGAAGGCGGUGUACCAGAACACGUUCGACGGUGAGGGAUGAAAGCUGGGGGAGCAAACCGGAUUAGAUACCCGGGUAGUCCCAGCUGUAAACGAUGCAAACUCGGUGAUGCAUUGGCUUGUGGCCAAUGCAGUGCCGCAGGGAAGCCGUUAAGUUUGCCGCCUGGGAAGUACGUACGCAAGUAUGAAACUUAAAGGAAUUGGCGGGGGAGCACCACAAGGGGUGAAGCCUGCGGUUCAAUUGGAGUCAACGCCGA